rnacentral:rRNA from 1 species
UGAAUCAUAGCUUGCUCUGUGUGAUCAUUGGCGAACGGGUGAGUAACACGUGAGCAAUCUGCCCCUGACUCUGGGAUAAGCGCUGGAAACGGCGUCUAAUACCGGAUACGAGCUGCGACCGCAUGGUCAGUAGCUGGAAAGAAUUUCGGUCAGGGAUGAGCUCGCGGCCUAUCAGCUUGUUGGUGAGGUAAUGGCUCACCAAGGCGUCGACGGGUAGCCGGCCUGAGAGGGUGACCGGCCACACUGGGACUGAGACACGGCCCAGACUCCUACGGGAGGCAGCAGUGGGGAAUAUUGCACAAUGGGCGCAAGCCUGAUGCAGCAACGCCGCGUGAGGGAUGACGGCCUUCGGGUUGUAAACCUCUUUUAGCAGGGAAGAAGCGAAAGUGACGGUACCUGCAGAAAAAGCGCCGGCUAACUACGUGCCAGCAGCCGCGGUAAUACGUAGGGCGCAAGCGUUAUCCGGAAUUAUUGGGCGUAAAGAGCUCGUAGGCGGUCUGUCGCGUCUGCUGUGAAAACCCGAGGCUCAACCUCGGGCCUGCAGUGGGUACGGGCAGACUAGAGUGCGGUAGGGGAGAUUGGAAUUCCUGGUGUAGCGGUGGAAUGCGCAGAUAUCAGGAGGAACACCGAUGGCGAAGGCAGAUCUCUGGGCCGUAACUGACGCUGAGGAGCGAAAGGGUGGGGAGCAAACAGGCUUAGAUACCCUGGUAGUCCACCCCGUAAACGUUGGGAACUAGUUGUGGGGUCCAUUCCACGGAUUCCGUGACGCAGCUAACGCAUUAAGUUCCCCGCCUGGGGAGUACGGCCGCAAGGCUAAAACUCAAAGGAAUUGACGGGGACCCGCACAAGCGGCGGAGCAUGCGGAUUAAUUCGAUGCAACGCGAAGAACCUUACCAAGGCUUGACAUAUAGAGGAAACGUCUGGAAACAGUCGCCCCGCAAGGUCUCUAUACAGGUGGUGCAUGGUUGUCGUCAGCUCGUGUCGUGAGAUGUUGGGUUAAGUCCCGCAACGAGCGCAACCCUCGUUCUAUGUUGCCAGCACGUAAUGGUGGGAACUCAUGGGAUACUGCCGGGGUCAACUCGGAGGAAGGUGGGGAUGACGUCAAAUCAUCAUGCCCCUUAUGUCUUGGGCUUCACGCAUGCUACAAUGGCCGGUACAAAGGGCUGCAAUACCGUGAGGUGGAGCGAAUCCCAAAAAGCCGGUCCCAGUUCGGAUUGAGGUCUGCAACUCGACCUCAUGAAGUCGGAGUCGCUAGUAAUCGCAGAUCAGCAACGCUGCGGUGAAUACGUUCCCGGGUCUUGUACACACCGCCCGUCAAGUCAUGAAAGUCGGUAACACCUGAAGCCGGUGG